rnacentral:rRNA from 1 species
UACGAAGGGGGCUAGCGUUGCUCGGAAUCACUGGGCGUAAAGGUGCGUAGGCGGGUCUUUAAGUCAGGGGUGAAAUCCUGGAGCUCAACUCCAGAACUGCCUUUGAUACUGAGGAUCUUGAGUUCGGGAGAGGUGAGUGGAACUGCGAGUGUAGAGGUGAAAUUCGUAGAUAUUCGCAAGAACACCAGUGGCGAAGGCGGCUCACUGGCCCGAUACUGACGCUGAGGCACGAAAGCGUGGGGAGCAAACAGGG